GGCAUUCAUGAGAAGCGCUGAGCUCCCUGUGUCAGCCGAGAAGAAAAUCUUUCAAACUGUGAGAAGCUUCUAUGAGGCAGUGCUUAAGAAGAUGUUCUCCUCCUUUCCCCUCGACCAUCCACUCCUGAGGGACCUGAAAGUGCUGGACCCUGCAGCUCGCCUUAACAUAACUCCAGGGACAGGUAGAUAAUAGAAACAGUUUCCAAUAGGCUUUAUGCCCAGCUCCACUACUUACUCUAGCAACCACCCUAGCAAUGGUCAGACACACCUGGAUAAAUUAAAUAUAAGUAUGUUUAGUUUGUUAGCAGUAACCUUAUAAGAGCAGAAUAAAUAUGGCUAUGUAAUAUGAACAAUAUGUACAGAUAUGUGCAAUGUAGUGGCAGUAUCAUUAUAGUAGUAGUAAAAAACAAUAUAGAUAUAUGCAGUGUAUUAAUAGAAUAUAUUACAGAAAAACUGAAUAAAUAUGGAUAUUUAGUAUGAACCAUAUAAACAGAUAUGUACAGUAUGUACAGCUAUGUGCAGUGUGGUAACAGUACCAUUGUAGUGCAGAAAUUGACAGGAAAUAAAGGAGCUGGCUUAAGUUCAGGGAGUAGUGGAGCUUAGUCAAACACUUGUUUUACUUUACAGUGGAAAGGCUAGGGGCCCUGUUCCCUCAGUUGAGGCUGAAAGAGGAUAAGAUGAGGGAGGAAUUCACAGACUAUCAGGUGACAGAUAGCAAGCAACUCCCCCAAGAAGACAGAAUCGACAGAUUUUGGGGCCUGGUAGGAAAGGACAUGAGGUUCAGUGAGCUGCCAAAACUUAUGAAGGCUUUACUGUGCAUUCCCCAUAGCAAUGCAAGUUCAGAAAUGGUGUUUAGCAUGGUACGAAAGAUUGUUACAGAGAAUAGGAUGUCGUUAGACAACAGAACUGUUUGUGCUCUGCUCUCAUGUAAAAUUAACCACUCUGGCCCAGCCCACAAAUACACUCCUUCCAAAACAGUCUUAAAGAAUGCAAAGUCUGCAACAAAUGAGUACAAUAAGUCACUAAAAGUGUAAAGAAAAGUUAUGUGAAAUGAAAAGAAAAAAAACUGUACAAAAAAGCAAUAUGAAAUGAAUGAGUGUGUGAAUGUGAAAAGAAUGUGGAAUGAAAAUGAAAUGUAAAUGUAAAGACAAGCAAUGUUAAAUGAACAGAAAAUAUGCAAAUAAGCCUUUAAAUAAAUGCUCUUCAUAUA